GCUUCAGCCCAAUUGCUAACUACAAGUAGGGUAGUCUGUCCUCAGAGUGCUUGUAAAUGCAUGGCAGGACUGCUACUGGGCCACCUGGGUCCCUGUCAAUGACUUGUGCUUCAGCCUUGGAGGCAGCAGCACCCCGCUUUCAGCAGAGGAUGUCUGUGGGGCUCCAGGGAUGGGACCACACCAGACAGUGAAUCUGCUGGCAGCAUGAUCUCGGACUUCUCAGCCUCCAGAACUGUGAGAAAUAAAUGUUCGUUGUUUAUAAACCACCCAGUUUAUGGUAUUUUUGUUAAAGCAGCCUAAAUGAACUAAGACAAA
rnacentral:lncRNA from 1 species